rnacentral:tRNA from 1 species
ACCUGUCUGGCUCAGUCGGUAGAGCAUUGGACUCUUGAUCUUGGGGUUGUGAGUUUGAGCCCCACGUUGGGUG